rnacentral:rRNA from 1 species
GACGAACGCUGGCGGCGUGCUUAACACAUGCAAGUCGAACGGAGUGGCGAACGGGUGAGUAACACGUGGGUGAUCUGCCUUGCACUUCGGGAUAAGCUUGGGAAACUGGGUCUAAUACCGGAUAGUGCAAGAUGAGCUCGCGGCCUAUCAGCUUGUUGGUGGGGUAAUGGCCUACCAAGGCGUCGACGGGUAGCCGGCCUGGGAGGGGGUACGGCCCCAAUGGGCCUGAGCUAGGGACCAGAGUCCAACGGGAGGCAGCAGUGGGGAUUAUUGUACAAUGGGCGGAAGUCUGAUGCAGCGACGCUGCGUGGGGGAUGUAGGCCUUCGGGUUGUAAACUCCUUUCGACAGGGACGCGGUACCUGUAUAAGAAGCACCGGCUAACUACGUGCCAGCAGCCGCGGUAAUUC